UACGGGGGGGGUAAGCGUUGUUCGGAAUUACUGGGCGUAAAGGGCUCGUAGGCGGCCAACUAAGUCGGACGUGAAAUCCCUCAGCUUAACUGGGGAACUGCGUCCGAUACUGGAUGGCUUGGAUUUGGGAGAGGGAUGCGGAAUUCCAGGUGUAGCGGUGAAAUGCGUAGAUAUCUGGAGGAACACCGGUGGCGAAGGCGGAUCUCUGGGCCAUUACUGACGCUGAGGAGCGAAAGCGUGGGGAGCGAACAGG
rnacentral:rRNA from 1 species